GACGAACGCGGCGGCGUGCCUAAUACAUGCAAGUAGAACGCUGAAGGGAGAGCUUGCUCUUCUGGAUGAGUUGCGAACGGGUGAGUAACGCGUAGGUAACCUGCCUGGUAGCGGGGGAUAACUAUUGGAAACGAUAGCUAAUACCGCAUAACAUUGACUAUUGCAUGAUAGUCAAUUGAAAGGUGCAAAUGCACCACUACCAGAUGGACCUGCGUUGUAUUAGCUAGUUGGUGGGGUAACGGCUCACCAAGGCGACGAUACAUAGCCGACCUGAGAGGGUGAUCGGCCACACUGGGACUGAGACACGGCCCAGACUCCUGCGGGAGGCAGCAGUAGGGAAUCUUCGGCAAUGGACGGAAGUCUGACCGAGCAACGCCGCGUGAGUGAAGAAGGUUUUCGGAUCGUAAAGCUCUGUUGUAAGAGAAGAAACGAGUGUGAGAAGUGAAAAGUUCCACCACUGGG
rnacentral:rRNA from 1 species